GGGAAUAUAACUCAGUCAGGUUAGAGUAAUAGCUUUUUUUUAUUGUGGGUUCGAGUCCCACUACCA
rnacentral:tRNA from 1 species